GAUGAACGCUGGCGGCGUGCCUAAUACAUGCAAGUCGAGCGAAGCGGGGACGGGUGAGUAACACGUGGAUAACCUCCUAUAAGACUGGGAGAAGUUCGGGAAACAGGAGCUAAACCGGAUACUUAGAGAUGGCACCGCGCUGCAUUCGCUAGUUGGUAAGGUAACGGCUUACAAAGGCAACGAUGAAUAGCCGACCUGAGAGAGUGAUCGGCCACACUGUGAGUAAGACACUGUCCAGACUCCUACGGGAUGCAGCAGUAGGGAAGCUUCCGCAAUGGGCGAAAGCCUGACGGAGCAAUGCAGCGUGAGUGAUGAAGGUCUUCGGAUCGUAAAACUCUGUUAUUAGGGAAGCGGUACCUAAUCAGAAAGCCACGGCUAACUACGUGCCAGCAGCCGCGGUAAUAC
rnacentral:rRNA from 1 species